CUUUUUAUCUGCCAGAAAGAGAGAUCAAUUUCCUGUUAGUCCUGGGCCUGAUGUACUGUACAAUGGAUUGAGAGACAAGUCUGAAGGUUGUUAAGCGAAUCUGGCUCUCCCUAUGAUUUUGCUUGCUGGAAGCCAGCUGGAAAGGACUCCAAGAUGCUGCAACCAUCAUGUAUAUAUAUGCCAGUUGCCAACUGAAUUUUCUUCACAUGACUACAGGGAUGGCCCCAGUAGGCAAUGGACCAGCCUAUUAUCCCACCGCCAAUGAUCACCACAUCGGAAUGCUCAGGAGGGAGAUCUCUUGUUGGAAAGAAGGGAUCAAAGUUCUGGAAAUUGGUCAACUUCUUAAAUUCUGAAAAAGAGUGAAAAUUAAACCAGGACAGCCAUGU